rnacentral:rRNA from 1 species
UACGGGGGGGGCAAGCGUUGUUCGGAAUUACUGGGCGUAAAGCGCGCGUAGGCGGGCUUGUAAGUUGAUUGUGAAAGCCCCGGGCUUAACCCGGGACGUGCAGUCAAAACUGCAAGUCUUGAGUGCCUGAGAGGAUGGCGGAAUUCCCGGUGUAGUAGUGAAAUACGUAGAUAUCGGGAAGAACACCUGAGGCGAAGGCGGCUAUCUGGCGGUGCACUGACGCUGAGGCGCGAAAGCGUGGGGAGCAAACAGG